rnacentral:misc_RNA from 1 species
AGGGGAGCAACUGUGUGGUUGCGUGUGACGUCAGCCGCUAUGGUCUGUAAAGUAUCGCUCGAAUGGCCUGUGUUUUCCCUUGCUGUUGCGGGCGUUAUGUUUACAGAGAACAUGUGAACAGCGCUAUGAACGGCAUGCCUGAAGCCGAUCCACUUACUUUUAAGCCACCAGACUGGAAAAAUUAUGUCCAACACUUUGGAUGCCUUUACAAAAGGCCCGUAGGGCACCAGUCGACCAAGUGGUCGAAAAGAUUUUUUAUCCUAAAAGAUGGUUACUUGCUAUAUUAUCCAGAGAAUGAAAAGAAAGAGAUUGAUAAGCGACAACACCUAAACAUACAUCCAAAGGGUAUCGUCCCCUUAGGUGACUGUCAGGUGAAUGCCACUCAAGAUCCAUCGCAUCAAUUUGCUUUCAUUGUCAGCAGUGCACAAAUAAAUGGUCGUAUUAUUUUAGCAGCCGAAAAUGAAUUUGAACGAAACCGAUGGGUCGAAAUGCUUAGAAAAUCAAGCCAGGUUACAUGGAAAUGUUUACAGUUGGGCAACCUAAUGAUUAAACAAUUAGAAACACAAGGCCAACAAAUGGCUCAUGAUAAACAGACCUAUUAUGAUCGGCUACAAAAUGAAGUGAUUGCAUUGUCGGAUACUAAACAAAGGGCAGAUGAACUGGAACGGUUAAAUGAAGAACUUGCUAAAGAGAAGAGUCGGAUGGAGCAACUAUUAAAAGACAUGGAAGACGACUAUCAGUGUGUGAAAGAAGAAUUAAUGGAAACAUCAACAGCCAUGGCUGAACUAGAGACAAAUAGUUCUGAAUUGUUAGGAACUUUGGAUCAACAAAAAUCAGAAUUACUGAUAUUGGCAUCCGAAAGAGAGAAAAUUCUAAAUGUUUUAAAAGAGAAAGAAGGAGAGACUGAGACACUAUCAAAGAAAAAUGAGACAUUGGCACAGACCACAGCAAACCUUCGGCAUACCCUAGAAACUAUAGAACUGAAAACUAAAGAACUCUUAUAUGAGAAAGCAGAAGCAGAGAAACAAUUGUCUGAAAAUGAUGAACGAACUUCUCAGUUGAAAGCUGAAAAGGAAUAUUUCAGUGACCAAGCUCACUCAAUGCAAGCUACUAUUUUGGAUUUAAACGCACAGAAAGAAUUGACAGAAUCUGAACUUAGGGAAGAAAUUUUGGCUCGGAUUGAUGCCGAGAGGAGGCUAAGAAAGGCCGAACAGUCAUUGCAAUACCUUGAUCAGGCAGUUACAGCCGAAACUGAAAACAUAGAAGAGGGAGUUCGAGAAGGCAUGAUAGUCAAUGUUGGAAUGUUAAAAACUUUCUUUGAGGAUCUUGCAGCAGAAUCCAAGAUUGAUGCCAACAAACCAAUUGUGAUAAAAAACAUGGUCCAUGCUCGGAAAACAUUAACAAGGAAGGCAAACACACUAAAAUUUGAAAAGAGAAGAAGAUCAUGUAGUUCAAGGCUGUAAAUUAACAGGAAAAUCUUCUCCUUUCAACCAUAGAAUAUUUCAAAGCUUUCUUGAAAACCGUCCUAGUUCUUUAGUACUCGAUGAUGAAGACGGCAAAACAAGAAACCCGAUCCGUCGAGCCAAAACUUCAGUAACGCAAUCUUCAAAAUACUUAGCUAAAGACACCAAUAAUUCUGAUAACCUCUUACAGCC